rnacentral:tRNA from 1 species
GGUCGCUUAGCUCAGUUGGUUAGAGCGUGGUGCUAAUAGCUCGAUGCGAGCUGGGAUACGCCAAGGUCGCGAGUUCGACCCUCGUAGUGACCA